rnacentral:other from 1 species
AAUACCCUGCCUUGUUCGCUAACAGGCACAAAUCUCUAACCUUCUAUGCUUCAAGGGAGCUUGAAUGCGGCGUGGAGCGGAUCCUAACGGAUCCCAGAAGCGCCGACUAGAGCACCCACCUCGUAUACCGAGGUCCAGAGAUUAACGCCAGUACGACUUCGGUGGGGUAUUU